CGGGCCGUGAACUCCCACUUCUUGGCCUGGCCGGACAUCACCCGGCCGCCGAAGGUGUCCCCGUCGGCCAGCAGCCCGAUCACGGCCUCUUCGCCGUACGGACCCUCGCCGAUCUUCUCGACCUUGCCGUGCGCGAUCAGGAACACCUGGUCGGCCUUGCGGCCCGCCUGCACGAUGAGAUCGCCCGGCGCGUACUCCUUCUGCACGAACUUGUCGGCCAGCGCGCCGAGCACGUCGGCGUCGGAAAAGCCGCGCAGCAGGGGCAGUUCACCCAGUUCGGCGGGGACCACCUGGACCUUGGAGCCGGUCUUCACGAAGGUCACGCGGCCGUCGCCGACGGUGUAGGAGAGACGGCGGUUGACCCGGUAGGUUGCGCCGGGCACGUUCACCCAGGGCAGCAUGCGGGUCGCCCAGCGGGAGGUGAUGCCCUGCAUCUGGGGUUCGGACUUGGUGGUGGUGGCGAGAUUGCGCGCCGCCGCGGUGCUGAGGCUCUGCUGCUCCUGCUG
rnacentral:antisense_RNA from 1 species